UGUGUUGUGUCUCUAUUAGCU
rnacentral:piRNA from 1 species